AGGACGGCGAAGGCGGCGAGAGCCACCACGACAGGAAGCAACGCAGAGAGAAGAUGAAUACUGGAAUUGAGAUGCAGAUGAGGGAGGAGGGGCUGGAAUUGAGAUGCAGACGAGGGAAUAGGGAAUUAGAGGUGAUUUCUAUCGUCUGGGAAAAGAGGAGAUUUACAGCUGGAGACGUGGGCGGCGCAGUUGAUCUUUUGUGUGUAAACCCUAAAUUGAGUAGAGAUGUGUGGUUAUACCUGCAAAAUAUGUAAUGGGCUUUUAGCAAUAUGUAUUUAAAUAAUUAAUGUAUAAUGGGCUUUUAGCAUGUAAUUUUUUUUUAUAAAUCAUGAAGAUAUUGAGUCAGCCUCACAAAUCACGAGAGUAAUUAAAUUAUCUUUGUUACUUUAUUAGUAUUUUAUUUCAUUAU
rnacentral:lncRNA from 1 species